rnacentral:tRNA from 1 species
CCGAGCGUAGCUCAGUUGGUUUAGAGCACUACCUUGACAGGGUAGGGGUCACUGGUUCGAAUCCAGUCGUUUGGA